rnacentral:rRNA from 1 species
GACGAACGCUGGCGGCGUGCUUAACACAUGCAAGUCGAACGGAAAGGCCCUGCUUGCAGGCUACUCGAGUGGCGAACGGGUGAGUAACACGUGGGGGAUCUGCCUUGCACUUCGGGAUAGGCCUGGGAAACGGGUUCUGAUUCCGGAUCGGAGCCUUAUCUCCUGUGAUUGUUGGAAAGUUUUUUUCGGUGUAGGGUGAGCUCGCGGCCUAUCAGCUUGAUGGUGCGGUAAUGGUCUACCAAGGCGAAGACGGGUAGCCGGCCUGAGAGGGUGACCGGCCUCAGUGGGACUGGGACACAGCCAAGACCCAUACGCGUGGGAGAAGUAGCGGAUAGUGCAAAAUGAGAGUGAGCCUGAUGCAGCGACGCCGCGGGGGGGAGGGCGGCGUUCGGGUUGUAAAUGCCUUUCGCUAGUAACGAAGACGUUUGUGACGGUACCUAGAUAAGAAGCUCCGGCUAACUACGUG